AUUUGUAUAUAACAGCCACCAAGCAACGCUAAGCUCUGGCCUUCAUCAUCUCCUUUCUCAUCUCUUCUUGCUCCUUGCUUCAGGUAGAGGGAGAAGAUGGUGAUGAUGAGCCAGCAAUUAGAGAGGCUUGUGGGCAGCCUCAAAUCAAAAAUCAAGUCACUGAAGGGGAAUAAGAAGCCAAUCUACGGCAAAAUGGACAAGACAGACAGCAUGAGGGUGGAGAUCAGAAGCAAGAGAGCUCAGAAGCUGAUAGCCAAGAACCUCAAGAUGGCAGAUUCCAUGGUUAACAACAACAACAAAACCUUCAUCUUUUGACAAAGUACUAUUAGUAUAAUAAUUAAUACAUAGAUAGCGUCCCAUGUAUAUUGUUAUUACUUCCAUCCACCACGAGGACUGAUUUCAUGAGAGGACCAAUUGAUAUGGUGGCUCUGUGUUUUUACAAGUUUUUGUUUCUGUAAAAUUUCACAUGAAAUAGUUUUCAAAAGUGAUGUUGGGUUGAGGC